CACCCGGGGAUAUACCCCCCCAUUUAUACCGCAUAUUCUCAUUCAUUGCUUGUCUUACAUGUUAUAUAGUCUGCUUUUUUUUUUACACUCUCUCAUUCAAUAACAACAAUCAGUCGACUCCGGCUUGUUGUCACCAUUGCUACUACUACUAUCAUUAUUAUAUAGUUUUCUGAACAAGGCUGCUGCCACUUCAUUCACACCCGGUCUAUAUUCACCAUUGCUGCCACCUGCAUCAACGCCGCCGCCGUCGCUGCUGCCGCCACCAUUGUCAUCCACCACACCAGCAAACAUCAUCGUUAAUUGAAAAAGACCCUGAGACAUGGCUGAGAGACGUCCGUUCGAACACCUACCUUCAACUGUUAUACCCGUCAACUAUGCCCUGCUUUUCAAACCAGAUUUGGAAACAUUCAAGUUCACCGGAUCCGGUGAUAUUGAUGUCCAAAUCAAAGAACCUGUUGAAUCAUUCAAGUUAAAUGCUGCUGAACUUACUGUUUCUAAAGCUUCUUUCAAGUAUGAAGGUGGAGAACCAGUUGACUUGAAAAUUUCCUUUGUUAAGGAAAAUGAAAAUGUCAUAUUCUCUUCUUCCAGUACUUUCAAGGCUGGAUUCGGUGUGCUCCACAUUGAAUUUGCAGGGGAACUCAAUGAUCGAAUGCGAGGUUUUUACCACAGCCAGUACACGGUUUCCAGUGGCAAAGUUGUUCAUUUGGCAGUCACUCAGUUUGAGUCGACAGAUGCCCGUCGUGCAUUCCCUUGCUGGGAUGAACCAUCAUUCAAAGCUACUUUUGACAUCACUUUAGUCUUUCCUAAUCAUUUAACAGGCUUAUCAAAUAUGCCAGUUACUGAAGAGAAAACUCACUCAACUGAUCCCAAGUUGAAGGUGAUGAAGUUUGAAAGGAGUCCUAAAAUGUCAACAUAUUUGUUGGCAUUUAUAAUUGGUGAAUUUGACUACCUGGAAGGUAGAGAUUCAGAUAACGUCCUUGUUCGCGUUUAUACACCAUUGGAGAAGAGGGAUCAAGGACAGUUUGCUCUUGAUGUAACUGUGAAAACACUGCCAUUUUACAAGAGCUACUUCAAUAUUGCCUAUCCACUGCCAAAAAUUGACCUUAUUGCAAUUCCUGAUUUUCUGAGUGGUGCCAUGGAAAACUGGGGUUUGGUGACAUACAGAGAAAAUACUUUGCUCAUUGAUGCAGAAGACUCCUCUGCGAAAUCACGACAGCUUGUUGCACUUGUAAUCGGUCAUGAACUUGCACACAUGUGGUUUGGAAACCUUGUCACUAUGGAAUGGUGGACUCACUUGUGGUUGAACGAAGGUUUUGCCUCUUGGAUUGAAUACCUCUGUGUCGAUAAACUGUUUCCAGAUUUUGAAAUCUGGACCCAGUUUGUCACGUCUGAUCUUGCAGCAGCCCUCAAGCUUGAUGCCUUACACACAAGUCAUCCCAUUGAGGUUCCAGUUGGUCACCCAGCAGAAGUAGAUGAAAUCUUUGAUGCCAUUUCCUAUUGUAAAGGAGCAUCAGUCAUCAGAAUGUUACACAACUACAUUGAAGAUACUGAUUUCAAAAAAGGCAUGAAUUCUUAUCUAACAAAAUUCAUGUACAAGAAUGCUGCAACUGAAGAUCUCUGGGAUGCAUUAGAAAGUGCUAGUGGCAAACCAAUCAAGAGAGUUAUGAGCACUUGGACAUCUCAGAUGGGUUAUCCUGUUGUCAAAGUCAGUGAAACAAAGGAAGAUAAUCGUCGUGUUCUACAUCUGACCCAAAUGAAAUUCUGUGCUGAUGGUAAAACGGGAGAUAAAACUUCAAGAUGGAUGAUUCCUAUUGAUAUUUCAACCUCAUCAAGUAUUCACAAACCAGUCAAGAAAGUUCUGAUGGAAGGUGAAAAGAUGGAAGUGAUUCUUGACAAUGUCAAAACUGAUGAAUGGGUGUUGUUAAACUGUAACUCAGUUGGUGUGUAUCGAGUGCAAUACAGCAGUGACAUGUUACAAUCUCUAUUGAAGGGAAUUGUCAACAAAACCAUUCUCCCUACCAAUAGACUGGCAUUACAGAGUGAUAUGUUUGCUUUGGCUCGUGCUGGUAUGGUGUCAACCGUUGAAGUGCUGAAAUUUGUCCAAUCAUACAAAAACGAAGACAACUACACAGUUUGGAAUGACUUGGCACAGAACCUAACAAAUAUUGCUCUCCUGCUCCAGUACACCAAGUACUAUGACCAGUACAAAGUGUUUGUUCGUAACUUGUUCAGGAAGAUAGCUGCAAAGGUUGGCUGGGAAGCUACAAAAGAAGAGAAUCACUUAACAACAUUAUUAAGGGACUUGGUGCUCUGCCGUAUGGGUCGUUAUGGUGAUGCAGCUGUCUUGGAAGAAUCCCGUAAAAGGUUCCAGGAUCAUGUGUCUGGGGAGAAGAUCCUUCCUGCUGAUCUGAAAUCUCCUGUUUACCUGACAGUUGUCUGUCAUGGAGAUGAAGAAGUAUUGACAUCUAUGUUGGAGUUGUACGAGAAAGCCCAGAUGCAGGAAGAAAUGGUUCGAAUCAGCCGAACAAUUGGUGCAGUUAGUGAGAGUAAGCUUAUCACUCGAGUCCUGGAAUUUGCCAUUUCUGAUAGAGUUCGUAGCCAAGACACAGUUUUUGUGAUUGCUGGUGUAACAGGCACUGUGUUAGGGAGAGAAAUGGCAUGGCAAUUUGUGAGAGAUCACUGGCAGUUUUUCUGCGAGAGAUACCAAGGUGGGGCACUGAUUGCCAGACUCGUUAAGUUCACUACUGAGAAUUUUGCAUCUGAAAAUCGAGCAAAUGAAGUUGAGGAAUUCUUUGCAGCCCACCCAGCUGCUUCUGCAACCCGUAACAUUCAGCAGUCCUGUGAAAAUAUCAGACUGAAUGCCUGGUGGUUAGCUAAUGAGUCAGAUGAAGUUGGUAAAUUUUUAGAUGACAUCAAGGAAGAUUAAGGACAACACACACACACACACAUACAUACAUAAUAUACACACGUAUAUAUACAGUUUUCCUUCUUGUUUAUUUUGUUUUUACCUUUUCUUUUUCCUGUUUCUAUUUUUUUACCUUCUGUAACGGGAGAGAAAGUGUAUUCACUUCAAGCAGUCAUUCAAAUACAUUAGUCCAUAACAUUUCCAGUUCCCUACAAUCUGAUUUUCUCAUCUUUCAGAUGAUGAAAUUUGUCUUCUUUUUUCUCUCUCUCUCUUCACUACAGUUGAAAAUUUAUGCAUGGAAAACAAUAGACAAGAUAGUUUUUUAAUAUCUAAUAAUGCAUGUGACAUUAAAAUGAAAAAUUAACUAGGAUUCGAUAUGUUGCAAUAGAAUAUAUUAGUCAUUAACUAUUUCCUUUCGAAUAAUUUCAAUAUUUUAAUCUUGAAAAUAUUCCAUUUUCUUCUACCAACAAAUAUAAUCUUUUAUGUAUAUUUACUGAGGGAAUCUUACAUAACAUCUUCAGCUGGCUGUGCUUUACUGAUGAGAUCAGAAUAAGACCAGAACCUAUCCCCAUAUACUUAUUAUUUAGUAUAUAUUGUUCAAUGAAAUAAACUGUCAAUGCACAGUCAGCUUUUUACUUUUGCUUUCCCCAUCCUUUUGGCCCUUAUUUACUCUAACCUCCCAGUUAGACAGCAGAUACAGGCUUCAGAUAUUUUGGGUCAUUAAGUCAGGCUAAUGUUACUGAGCAUCAAUCCAAUGAUUUCUUUUUUUUUUUUUCUUCCAGCUAAAUUGGAUUGUCUUCAAAGUGACUUCCCAAAUAUCUGCUACAUCUCAGCACCAUCAAAUAUCCACACAUUUUUCACAACUUCUAACUCUUCUUGGUGCUACACCGUUUCCCUACAAUUUGCUUCAAACGGUCACCUCAUCCACCAUUUAUUUUUCUCUCAUGUACAACUAACCUGAAAUCGUGCUUUGUGGUUGUGGAAGUUGGCCGUCCUGACCGGGGUUCAUCUGUGACCUCGAAAUGACCAGUCCAAAACCUCAACACCCAUAUUUUCACCAUGGAGUAAGAUGGGCAGCACUCCUUCAAGACUUCCUUCCUCUUGCCAUGGAUUUCUGCUGCUCCUUUUCCUUGCAAAAAGGGGAACUUCAUGACGCCCCCUACUUGAAUCUUAUCAAAAUCCAUUGUAGGAGCUGCCAUCAUGCGUUAAACCUGCAAAAAAGAGAAAGACACAUUGUAUACCAUCAUGGUAUUUUUUUGCAUAUCUUCUCCUAAAUAGUUGUCCUACCAUCCUUGUAAAGGUAACAGCUCUACCCCUUUUGCAAUACCCUUAAAAUUCCUUGCAGUGUUUGCUUUUGUCCUUUUUACAUUCUAAAGUCAGAUUUUGCCGAGGUAGACUUGUGUCUUUCAUUUUCACAGACUGAGUGUGAUCGACUCAGGUGUUGUGUCUGCAUUUGAGAUAAUUAUUCCCAUUAUCUGGAAAACAAUGAAAUUGAUAGCACCUGGAAGUAUUAAGUUUCGUUCCUCUGCAAAUGACUCUGAAUUUCACCUUCCAUCUUUAUAGGGUCAAUAAAUGGAUUCCAUUUAAGUUCAAUGUCCUAUGAAGAAUCCUCUCAGAGAGGGGCAAGCUGACAAUAUUGUCCAAGUAAUAGAGAAAAUUAUUUGUUUGUUCCCAUUCUUUACAUUUGCAGUUCAAAUCCUGCUGAGGUCUACUUUACCUUCCAUCCACUCCAAGGUUGAUAAAAUAUAAUACCAGUCAACGACUAACUUCACUCUCCCUUCAGAAUUGCUGGCCUUAUGAUGCUGAAAUCCUUAAAUCAUCAUCAUUAUUAUCAUUAGCAUUGCUGCAUCGUAAAUUACAUCCUUUACGCCUUUCUAUUCAGGGAAAUAACCAGGGUUUUUAAGUUUAGAUUAUCAGGUAGGAUCAGUCUUAACUCGCUUGCGGUGGAGAAGUAAAAUGCAUGAAGAUGAUUGCAAAUAUAUACACAUUAAAAUGUGUUGAAAAUAGAAAUACAAAAUAGUUUGCCAACUUACUUCAGCAAUUAAUUCACCUUUAACCUUUCUCAAUACAAUCACCUGUAAUCUCACCUUUUUCAAUCAAAUCACUUGUAACAUCUCUCUUUAGCAAUAAAAUCACCUGUAAUGCCUCUCUCUCUCUCUCUCUCUCUAGCAAUAAAUUCUCUUGUAACCUCUUUCUCUCUCUCUCUAAAAAAAUGUUCUCUUGUUUGACUGGCUUGUAAUGUUGCCUUAUCUUUUAACAAUAAACCCGUCACUACUAAAGAUUUUUAUUUUUGUUCUUGUUUUAUAAAGGACUUUAUCUUGCUUAUGAUGAUGAUUAUUAUUAUUAUUAUUAUUAUUAUUCUUUGAAAAUCACCUGGGAUGUGGUUGUGCUGUAGACAGUUCAGAGCUUUGUUUGUAUUUAAAACUCACAGGUAUAAAUGUGCAAACUUAACUCUGUUUCCACCUUCAGUGCUUGAGAUAGAUUAUGGGGCAGCAGUAAAAUACAAAUUAUUAUCGUUUUUAUUAUUAUUAUAUUAUUACCCAGCUGCACACAACAAUAAUACUUUUCUUUAUAAAAAAUUUAAUCUUCUGCCUGUUCAAAUAAAAAAUCAUUAUUUUUUUAUGAUUUAUCAAAUAUAUAUAUAUAUUUUUUUUUAAUUUGAAGUUUUGAAAUUAAAGAAAGAAAUGAAAUUUGAUAAUAAAACAGGGAUAUCAAGAUGUAUUUAGGAUAGAA
rnacentral:misc_RNA from 1 species